rnacentral:tRNA from 1 species
GGAGGAGUGGCCGAGUGGUUUAAGGCACCGGUUUUGAAAACCGGCGUAGUCGAAAGGCUACCGUGGGUUCGAAUCCCUCCUCCUCCG